rnacentral:rRNA from 1 species
GAUGAACGCUGGCGGCGUGCCUAAUACAUGCAAGUCGAGCGAACAGACGAGGAGCUUGCUCCUCUGACGUUAGCGGCGGACGGGUGAGUAACACGUGGAUAACCUACCUAUAAGACUGGGAUAACUUCGGGAAACCGGAGCUAAUACCGGAUAAUAUAUUGAACCGCAUGGUUCAAUAGUGAAAGACGGUUUUGCUGUCACUUAUAGAUGGAUCCGCGCCGCAUUAGCUAGUUGGUAAGGUAACGGCUUACCAAGGCGACGAUGCGUAGCCGACCUGAGAGGGUGAUCGGCCACACUGGAACUGAGACACGGUCCAGACUCCUACGGGAGGCAGCAGUAGGGAAUCUUCCGCAAAGGGCGAAAGCCUGACGGAGCAACGCCGCGUGAGUGAUGAAGGUCUUCGGAUCGUAAAACUCUGUUAUUAGGGGAGAACAAAUGUGUAAGUAACUAUGCACGUCUUGACGGUACCUAAUCAGAAAGCCACGGCUAACUACGUG